AGGUGGUCCAGUCUGGAUUGCUGAACUGGCCUUUCCAGCAUCACACAUCUGUGUACUUCAAAUUGCUUUACUGGGUCUUCCUCAGCUGUGUCCAUUCUCUGGGAUGCUUCACUCCCCAGGACAUCAGCAGGAAUCCAUCAGAUCACGAGGCCAUACAUUCACAGCCUUAAUGGUCUGAGUUUAGUGCACAAUCAAGCAUCGAAGAAGCAAAGUGCUAAAUUACUUAAGCAUCUUAAAUAAUUGCAGACAAAAAUUUCUACACCAGAGCGAGGAACCAGGAGCAAUUGCUUGUCUUGGAGUCAAUUCCAAACCUCCCAACAGCAUGCUCAGGAUCUGGAACUCAGUACGUCCAGGCUAUUUUAAAAAUAAGUCCCUUUCGUAUCAUCCCCUCCCAUCCUCAGCCAAAACUGCAUUUCCUUCCACAGGCCCUUCGUUGGAGUUCCUAGAAUGUCUCUUCAUCUGCAGAUUCCCCGGGGGUGUUAUCCUGCGCCAUCUUAGAGAGCAGGGGAAGCACUGCCCGACGGAGGCAACAGAGAUAUCAGUAAGAUGAAGCAUUUGGACAUCCUUAUCCUGCUGCUAAAGAAGCCAAGGAGAAGCUGAGGGAACAGUCCAGAAGGGUUUCUUGAAGUCUUACUUUUAACUAUUAUUUUUGGUGCAGCAACAUCAAAAGUUCCUUUCCAGGUCUACCUCCCACUAUAAUAAGAGAUACAUCUCUCACGCAAUAAGAUCAUGAAUUGCCUGUCCUCCUUCCUUUUAGCCCACUCUGUGCUCCUGCAAAGUUCUCAUCUUCCCUUGAGAAAAACACAGCAAGAACAAGACAUUUUGUAAAAAAUGGCCAGUAAGAAAUUUUUCUGGUUAGGUCUAUUCUCAUUCUCCAAGAAAUGCCAAAUACUCUAUUUUAUGGAGUUUCUCAUUCUAUAGCCCUUGCACAUCACAGACAUGUUGAUAUUUGUUACCUCAUACACCAGUGUAAAUGAAGAAUUCUGGUUAUAUAAUUGCAGUUCUUAUUUUCCUGUUCCAUGUAAGCACCAUGGGCAGAGUAGCAUUCUAUAGUAGUUUCUUGAAGUUAAAUAAAGAGCAGUUCAUGGUGCCUGGAAAUCUGGAAAUCUAGAAUGUUCUGUGGCAUCUUCUGCUCUUGUUGUCUAAGUUAACUUUAGCUGCUCUUCACUGAAAGUUGAAAUAUUUGUGCUAGAAUUGUAAUUAAUUAGUUGCAAAAGUUAUGAAAUUUUGUUUUAACUUUCUAUCGCUUGACUUAAAGCAAAGAGAAAGAAUCAUUUUGCUUAGAGUGAUUAAUCUUGCAUGACUUAAGUAGAUUUUGGAAACUUUCAGAAAGGACGAAAUUCAAAUCUUUACAAUGGCUUGUUUUUCAAUCUUUAAAAUAAUACACUCCUAUAAGGGAGGCAUCUGCUCAACUGCAUCAUUUCCAGAAUGCAGAAUGCUCAGAGUUCUUAUAUUGAAAAUGUGUGGUAAAUGCACCCAUGUAUAAGAUAUGAAUCAGGAGAUGAUCCUGAAUUUUGUGGGAGGCUGCGUGAAGUUGAAGAUUAAUGCAAAGUGGGAACAAGCAGCUAAUUGUGUUUCUGAGCUUAUUUAAUUGUUAAACUAAAAAUAAUAAAAACAUAACACAGAGACCCAAACCACACAGCUGAGCAAUCCUUUCAGUUCUGUUGGGGCAAAAAGAUGAUAUCACUAAAAAAUAAAUAUGAAUAAAUACAGCAUAUCAGAAGUUGCUUUAGUUAAAUAUCUCAUGUAAAAGCUUUAAAGUUCAGUGAAAACUUAACUGAGAACUUCUUUUUUAAAAGUUGAAAAUAUAACCCCUGAAUCCUGUAGCAUUAGAGGAAAUGCUGGGGAAAAAAUCUGUGAAUAUAGAGUUCAGAUCACAGCAGGGCCUGUCACUGGUGCUGGUUCAGGGGCUUGGCUGGGUGCUGGGAAUGCAACAUCUUUGGGACAUUGAUUGAAUCAUGGAAUGGUUUGGACUGGAAUGGACCUUAAAGCCCAUUCAGUGCCCCCCCCUGCCAUGGCAGGGACACCUUCCACUGUCCCAGGCUGCUCCC